rnacentral:rRNA from 1 species
AGUGAACGCUGGCGGUAGGCCUAACACAUGCAAGUCGAACGGCAGCACAGUAAGAGCUUGCUCUUACGGGUGGCGAGUGGCGGACGGGUGAGGAAUACAUCGGAAUCUACUUUUUCGUGGGGGAUAACGUAGGGAAACUUACGCUAAUACCGCAUACGACCUACGGGUGAAAGCAGGGGAUCUUCGGACCUUGCGCGAUUGAAUGAGCCGAUGUCGGAUUAGCUAGUUGGCGGGGUAAAGGCCCACCAAGGCGACGAUACGUAGCUGGUCUGAGAGGAUGAUCAGCCACACUGGAACUGAGACACGGUCAAGACUCCUACGGGAGGCAGCAGUGGGGAAUAUUGGACAAUGGGCGCAAGCCUGAUCCAGCCAUACCGCGUGGGUGAAGAAGGCCUUCGGGUUGUAAAGCCCUUUUGUUGGGAAAGAAAAGCAGCAGGUUAAUACCCCGCUGUUCUGACGGUACCCAAAGAAUAAGCACCGGCUAACUUCGUG